ensembl:lncRNA
CCUUCAUGGCCAUGCUUUUUGAAGGACUUGGAUUGAUCAGCUGUCAACAAGGAAGGGUCAUGGGGACAAGUCACAAGUGGCAUCGUGAUGUGAUGUCUCUAUGGGGAAUUGAACUUAGAGCUGCAGCCUUUCUCUGGAACAUGCAUUUUACCUUCCGUGCGUAGAUUCUGUGCACUGGAUUUGAAGUCCUUAACAGUAUUUCUCCAGAAAUGACCCCAGUCUUGCAGAAGCUGACCUUGAGAAUCUGUAGAGGUGACUUGGACUUGAGUUAUCAAGGUGGUAGAGUGUGGCGGUGAAGCAUGUGGGUCAACUCCUAACUCUACUACUAACUAGGAUGGCUAACCUGGCAAGGUCCGUACUGUUUUGUACCUCCAUGUUCUCAUCUUCUUAUUGGGGAUGAUGAUGGUAAAACAUGCUUUACAGGUUUAUUGGGAAGAUUAAACAAGUUAAUAGCAGAGUGUGAAGAACACUGCCUGACAUGUGGUGUACACCAACCUGGGCUAGUUAGUGAUGCCAUCGAAGUGGCUGUGACAGUUCCAAACAGCAAUAGAACCACGUACUGGAGUUCCAGUGUCACACACUUGCCUUUUAAAAGCUGCCUAAUGUUUUCCCCGGUCAUCUUCAGAGACACUCAGAGUCAGGUCCAUGUAUACACAUUCCUUCCUUUGUGCUAUAUCAGAAAGAAAGGAGUUGGGUAUGGUUCCAAAUGAGGGGGAGGAAGCAAAGGAGAUAAAGUUUUCUGUGUAGACAAGUCAGCUCUUCUAAAUGGUCUGUCUGAUCCUAAGAAGAGCAGCUGUUCCAUCUCCACAGGACCAGCCCUUGAUCCCUCCCACCAAAGUUGAUGCGGGGGAAUCCUGGUCAUGCUUUUUGACUUUGCUUGUAGGUUCUGCUCAGCCUCACUCUCACCUGCCCCGAUGUCUCUUCACACUCCUCCUGACGGUUUCUGGAUGGCCUUUCCAAUGCUUUUUUGGGUGAAUGGUUUAAUCUAAGUAUAACAUACGUGGAGAACAAUGCAUGCAUCAUGCUGAAUUAUUACAGUCAGCACAUGAAACCCAGAUAAAGACUUUGAGCAAUACCAGCACCCAAUAUACUUCCUUUGUGUCUCCUCCGAAGCAUCACCUCCUCCAAAGGUAGCCACCAGUCUCCUUUCCCUCACAACAGACUAUUUUUUUGCCAAUUUUAUUACACUUUGGAUAAAUGGAACCACACAGUAUUUAGUCUUUUUGUUUGUUUGGGCAGUGCCUGUGGCAUGUAGAAGUUCCUGGACCAGGGAUUGAACUUGUGAUAAUGCCAGAUCCUUGAUCUGCUGAGCCACCAGGGAACUCUCAGUUCGUAGUCUUUUGGGCUUAGCUUCUUUUUUUUUUCCCCUCUCUUGUUAGGGCUGCACCCACAGCAUAUGAAAGUUCCUGGGCUAGUGGUUGAAUUGAAGCUGCAGCUGCCAGCCUGUGCUGCAGCCACAGCAAUGACAGAUCUGAGCCAUAUCUGUGACCUCCACCACAGCCUACAGCAAUGCUGGAUCCUUAACCCACUGAACGAAGCCAGGGAUCGAACCUGCAUCCUCAUGGAUACUAUGUCAGUUUCUUAACCUUCUGAGCCACAGUGGGAACCCCUGAGCUAGGCUCCUUUUGCUUAGUAUUCCUUCUAUGAGAUUCCUCUGUGUUGUGGUUUUUUUCUUUUCCAUCACUGUAGAGCUCUAUUGUAAAAAUAUAUUCAUGAAUUUUAUUUAUUCAUCCAUUCUCCCUUUAUAGAUAUCUGAGUUGUUUUCAGUUUUGGACUAUUAUGAAUAAUGGUGCCAUGAACAUGUCUUUUGGCAAAUUAUGUUGUCAUACCUAUGCAGCUAGGUACAGAAUUGAUGGGUCAAAUAUAUACUGAUGCUCAACCUCAGUGAAUAUUGCCUAACAGUUGCCUAAAUGGUUGAACACUGCCAUUUUUUAACAGAGUUUUUUGAAUGUUAAUCUGAAUGAGUUCUUCAUAUAUUUUGAAUAUUAAUCCCUUAUCAACUAUAUCAUUUGCAGAUAUCUUCUCCCAUUUAGUAGGCAGCCUUGUCAUUUUGACGGUAGUCUCUGUCACUGUGCAAAAGAUUUUUAGUUUGAUGUAGUCCCAUUCGUUUAUUUUUGCUUUUGUUGCCUUGCCUGAGGAGACAUAUCCAAAAAAUUAUCGCUAAGAGUGAGGUCUAAGACUGUUCUGCCUAUGUUUUCUUCUAAAAAUUUUAUGGUUUCAGGUCUUACAUUUAAGUCUUUAAUCCAUUUGGAGGUUAUUUUUGUAUAUAGUGUGAGAAAGGGGUCCAAUUUUACCCUUUUACAUGUAGCUGUCCAAUUUUCCCAACACCGUUUAAUUGAAGAGGCCAUCUUCCCCAUUGUCCACACCAAGACACACUGUAAUUAAAAUGGUGAUCAUUAAAGAUAAAGAGAAACAAGGGAAAAAAUGCUUACGUGGAGACUAAACAACAUGCUACUAAAAAAAGGGGGGGGCAAUGAUGAAUUCAAAGAGGAAAUAAAGAAUCAUUAAAGCAGCAAGGGAAAAGCAACUUAUUAUAUACAAGGAAACUCCCAUCAGACUGUUGGCUGACUGUUCAGUAGAAAUUUUGCAGACCAUAAGGGAAUGGCAGAAUAUGGGUGGGUAAACCCAUGGUCUUAAUAGGCUAGAGGAAGAACCCAAAGUGGCACUUGCCAGCACCAGUGUCCUUGUAGAAUGAGCUCCCCAAAAUGGCUGCUGUAAGCAUCUAGGUCCCCGUGAGGAGUCCCCCUUGCCUCCCACCUUUCUAAGAGGUUCUCCAAGAUUAGCAAGUGGGUUUAACCCAGGUUUCUUUCAAAAUACUGCUUCUGUGCUGGGUCUUGGAGUAUAUGAAAUUUUGUAUGAGCUCUUUAAGAGCAGAGGCUCUGUUUCCUACAGCCCUCAGGCUCUCCCAUGUGGAAGCCCCACUGACCUUCAAAGUCAGACGAUCUGAAGGCUCACCUUCCUGGUGCAGACCUAGGGUCUGGAAAGCCUGAUGUGGGGCUCAGACCCCUUGCUCUUUGGGAAAAAACUCUGAAAUUAUGAUUAUCCUCUCAUUUGCAGGUCACCUAUCCAAGGGUAUACCACUAAGGGUGUUAUACUGCAUCUCCACCCCUCCUACUUAUCUCGCUGUGGUUCCUUCUUUAUAUCUUUAAUUAUGGAAAAUAUUUUCUUCUAGUCUUCAGGAUUUUCUCAUCAAUAGUUGUUCUGUAAAUUGUUGUAAUUUUGGAGUGCCCAUGCGAGGAGGUGAGCUCAGUUUCUUCUUACUCCACCAUCUUGGCUAUUCCCCUGAAAUGGAACUGAUUUUUGAACAUUGUGUAUCAUGUACCUUGCUGACUUGUUUAUUUGUUGCAAUAGAUUUUUUAGUUGUUGUAUAUAUAAUAUAUAUAUAUAUUAGGAAUCCUAAACAAUCUAUAUAUGAAUAUAUAUAUGAAUAAUUAUGUCACUUGCAAAUUGAAAUAAUUUUACUUCUUUCCGAUUAGAUAUCUUCUAUUUCUUUUCUUCAUGCUGCAAGCCUUUUAUUAACUUCCAGAAAUCUGAAAAAGUUGAUUUGGAGAAAUUUUGCCAGUUUUUUUUAUUGCUUCUUUGGAGGGGCAAAUUUUUGGAAGUAUUUACUCCAGUACUUUUGCUGAUAUCACUUUAGUCUUUUAAUUGGAACUUUUGUUUUAUUUCCAUUUUAUGUAAUUAUGUCACAUGUUAUAAUUUGUUUUUAAUUUGUAAUCUGUUUUAUGUUUCUUUUUCUCUCCUUUCUUGCUUGCUUUUGUAUUAAUAAAAUAAUUUUAUUGUCCA